GACGAACGCUGGCGGCGUGCUUAACACAUGCAAGUCGAACGGAAAGGCCCUGCUUUUGUGGGGUGCUCGAGUGGCGAACGGGUGAGUAACACGUGAGUAACCUGCCCUUGACUUUGGGAUAACUUCAGGAAACUGGGGCUAAUACCGGAUAGGAGCUCCUGCUGCAUGGUGGGGGUUGGAAAGUUUCGGCGGUUGGGGAUGGACUCGCGGCUUAUCAGCUUGUUGGUGGGGUAGUGGCUUACCAAGGCUUUGACGGGUAGCCGGCCUGAGGGUGACCGGCCACAUUGGGACUGAGAUACGGCCCAGACUCCUACGGGAGGCAGCAGUGGGGAAUAUUGCACAAUGGGCGGAAGCCUGAUGCAGCAACGCCGCGUGCGGGAUGACGGCCUUCGGGUUGUAAACCGCUUUCGCCUGUGACGAAGCGUGAGUGACGGUAAUGGGUAAAGAAGCACCGGCUAACUACGU
rnacentral:rRNA from 1 species